rnacentral:lncRNA from 1 species
CCAUAUUCAAAAUUUUAAACAUAACAUUGUAGCAUCUUAAUAACAAGGGGAAAAAUGCAAUUUUCAUGGCAUACAAUAAAUAAAAAAAGAAGUGGUGUAGGUGCCUGGUUCAUGCAAAAUAAAUAAAGAAAUGUUGGUUAGAGGAAUCAGAUGCCCACAAUCUUGAAGAUGAUGAAGCAGAGGAAACCCAGGAAAAUCAAGAGGUAAAGGUAAUCAACGAAUACAAAGAAUCCGGUGGAUCCAUGAUUCCUCUUCUUCUUGGUUUUGGACACGGAAUUGUCUAUUUCUUCCAGCUUCGCCAUUGGUACGGAUUGAAGCCUUGUGUGUGUUCUUGAGACAACUAUUUAUUGAAUUGCAUGAAUC